CAGAGUUUAUCCUGGCUCAGGAUGAACGCUAGCUACAGGCUUAACACAUGCAAGUCGAGGGGCAGCAUGUUGGUUGCUUGCAACCAACGAUGGCGACCGGCGCACGGGUGAGUAACGCGUAUCCAACCUACCCUUGUCCAUCGGAUAACCCGUCGAAAGGCGGCCUAACACGAUAUGCGGUUCACAGCAGGCAUCUAACGUGAACGAAAUGUAAAGGAGAAGGAUGGGGAUGCGUCUGAUUAGCUUGUUGGCGGGGUAACGCCACAAGGCUACGAUCAGUAGGGGCUCGUGAGAGGAAGGUCCCCCANAUUGGAACUGAGACACGGUCCAAACUCCUACGGGAGCA
rnacentral:rRNA from 1 species